UACGUAGGGAGCAAGCGUUGUCCGGAAUCAUUGGGCGUAAAGCGCGCGUAGGCGGCCUCAUAAGUCCGUUGUGAAAGUCAAAGGCUCAACCUUUGAAUGCCGAUGGAUACUGUGAGGCUAGAGUCCGGAAGAGGCGAGUGGAAUUCCUGGUGUAGCGGUGGAAUGCGCAGAUAUCAGGAGGAACACCAAUAGCGAAGGCAGCUCGCUGGGACGGUACUGACGCUGAGACGCGAAAGCGUGGGGAGCGAACAGG
rnacentral:rRNA from 1 species